ACGCUCGACACCUACGGGAGGCAGCAGUUGGGAAUAUUGGACAAUGGAGGAAACUCUGAUCCAGUGACGCCGCGUGAAGGAAGAAGGUCUUCGGAUUGUAAACUUAUUUUGUCAGGGAAGAAAAAAUGACUGUACCUGAAGAAAAAGCACCCGGCUAACUACGUGCCGGCAGACGCGGUAAUCUGAGGCGGCGUGGCGAAGGC
rnacentral:rRNA from 1 species